GUUUCCACCUUCCAGAACAUUCAGGAGCACUCUCAAAGGGAGAAGAACACCCGCGACCACAGCGGCACCACCACUACGGCGCCGCAUAUACCACCGCCUCGGCGCCUCGUAUUCGCCAAGGGAAAAGAGCUGCCCUGUCUUCGCCUCGUCUGCCGGAAGCGAAAUUUCAAGGAGCACCCACGACUUCGCACACCGCCGGUGUAGGCUGCGAUCUGAUCGUGUGACCCAGCGGUAGCCGGGAGCUGCAAAGGGCGCGUCGAAGAUGAGCGUGGUUGGGUUUGAUUUGGGCAACGAGAGCUGCAUUGUGGGGGUGGCACGGCAGCGUGGCAUCGACGUGGUUCUCAAUGAGGAAUCCAAACGGGAGACCCCUGCCAUCGUCUGCUUUGGUGACAAGCAGCGCUUCAUCGGCACUGCAGGCGCUGCCAACUCCACCAUGAACCCAAAGAACUCCAUCUCACAGAUCAAGCGCUUGCUGGGCCGCAAGUUUGCUGAUCCUGAACUGCAGCGCGAUCUGCAGUCAUUCCCUUUCCGUGUCUCGGAGGGCCCCGACGGGUUCCCACUCGUGCACGCCCGGUAUCUGGGGGAGGAGCAUGCUUUCACCCCCACGCAGCUGCUUGCCAUGGUGCUGUCUAAUCUGAAGGCCAUUGCUGAGGAUAACCUGAAGUCCGCUGUUGUUGAUUGCUGCAUUGGUAUACCGGUGUAUUUCACUGACCUGCAGCGUAGGUCUGUUCUUGAUGCUGCCACUAUCGCUGGUCUCCGGCCGUUGCGUCUGUUCCAUGAGACCACUGCUACUGCAUUGGCAUAUGGCAUCUAUAAGACCGAUCUCCCUGAGAAUGAUCAGCUGAACGUCGCAUUUGUUGAUGUCGGGCAUGCCAGCAUGCAGGUAAGCAUUGUCGGGUACAAGAAGGGGCAGCUGAAGAUGCUGUCCCACGCAUAUGACCGGUCUCUUGGUGGAAGAGACUUUGAUGAAGCCCUGUUUAAGCACUUUGCGGCAAAAUUUAAAGAGGAGUAUAAGAUUGAUGUCUACCAGAAUGCCCGCGCGUGCAUUAGGUUGCGUGUGGCCUGUGAGAAGCUCAAGAAGAUGCUGAGCGCCAAUCCGGAGGCACCGAUGAAUAUUGAGUGCUUGAUGGAUGAGAAGGAUGUGCGAGGCUUCAUCAAGAGGGAUGAAUUUGAACAAAUCAGUGCCCCAGUACUAGAACGUGUGAAAGGGCCACUGGAGAAGGCCUUGGCCGAAGCUGGCUUGACAACUGAAAGUGUGCACUUUGUUGAGGUUGUUGGAUCAGGUUCUCGUGUCCCUGCUAUAAUUAGGAUUAUCACUGAAUUCUUUGGAAAGGAACCUCGGAGAACUAUGAAUGCAAGUGAAUGUGUUGCCCGGGGAUGCGCUCUUCAGUGUGCUAUACUUAGUCCCACGUUCAAAGUGCGGGAGUUCCAGGUUAAUGAAGGUUUUCCUUUUUCAAUCGCUUUAUCAUGGAAACCAGAUUCCCAGAACAAUGAGCCCCAACAAACAGUGGUAUUUCCAAAGGGGAACCCUAUCCCGAGCGUCAAAGCUCUGACCUUCUAUAGGUCCAAUACAUUUGCAGUGGAUGUUCUGAAUGUCGAAACGGAAGAUUCGCAAGUAACACAAAAAAUUAGCACAUACACGAUCGGCCCUUUCCAAUCCAGCAAAGGUGAGAAGGCAAAGCUGAAAGUGAAAGUUCGUCUCAACAUUCAUGGAAUAGUCUCUCUUGAAUCAGCGACGAUGCUGGAGGAGGAGGAAGUGGAAGUUCCAGUUUCAGCUACAAGUGAGGUGCCAAAGGAUGCUAACAAAAUGGAGACAGAUGCCACUGAUGUCAAUAUGCAGGAGCCUAAAGGUACUACAGACACUGCUGAGGGUGCUACUGGAGAUGGGGCACAAGAUUCUGAGGAAAAAUCUGCUCCUAUGGAUACUGAUGCCAAGACUGAGCCAUCAAAAAAGGAAGUCAAGAAAACUAAUGUCCCAGUUGCGGAAUUGGUGUAUGGUGCAAUGGGGUCUGCUGAGUUGGAGAAAGCUGUUGAGAAGGAGUAUGAGAUGGCUCUUCAAGACAGAGUUAUGGAAGAAACCAAAGAGAAAAAGAAUUCCGUGGAGGCCUAUGUUUAUGACAUGCGUAACAAGCUUUAUGAGAAGUACUCUGAUUAUGUUACAUGGGAGGACAAAGAAACUUUGACGGCUAAGCUUCAGGAGGUUGAGGAUUGGCUGUACGAAGAUGGCGAGGAUGAGACCAAGGGAGUCUAUGUUGCAAAACUGGAAGAACUUAAAAAGGUUGGUGGCCCUAUCGAGGCGCGCUACAGAGAGUGGGAAGAAAGAGGUCCUGCUAUUGAGCAACUAGCGUACUGCAUCCGCAGUUUCAGGGAGGCUGCAUUGUCUAGUGACCCAAAGUUUGAGCAUAUCGACAUAUCGGAGAAACAGAAGGUUGUUAAUGAGUGCUCUGGAGCGGAGACUUGGCUGCAUGAGAAAAAACAGCAGCAGGAUGCUUUACCAAAGCAUGCUGACCCUGCUCUCCUUGUUUCCGACAUUAAGAAGAAGGCGGAAGCACUUGACAGAUUUUGCAAAUCGAUCAUGACAAAGCCAAAGCCAGCACCGAAGCCACAGACACCACCCCCGGCCGAAACUUCACCACCAGAGGCUCAAACACCAGAGCAGCAGCCAGAUGGUGCCACUGAAGCUAGUGAGCCGGCCAGUGAGGGAGGUGCGUGGGAGCAGCCUGCAGCCGAGCAGAUGGACACCGACGAACCUGAUCCUAACUCGGCAUAGGCUUAUUGUUGAUCGAAGCAGUUUUUUUUCUCUGCUAUUGACUGCGUUUCACGGUGUUGGUAGCGCGGCAAGCUUUUGGGUCUCGGCACGCACGGUUGCGAGCAAGGUUAUGUGUUGUGUUAGAACUUUGAGAGAGUUCGGUAGUGUAUGUAGCUGUCUGUCCCUGGACUUGGCUUUGUGACUUUCUUGGUGGUGGGUGAUGCAGAUGCAGGGUUAUCAUCUUCAGAUUUUGGUGCCUGAUGUCAGCGAUAUCUUUGCUGUAGUUUCUAUAGCCAUCAAGGGUUUGAGCCGUGCUGAACAUGCUCCUGCGUUUUGCUGUACUCCUGUCUGCACCACCAGGACACACCCUCCAAAGCAUGUUUAAUCUAUUUCUGGCAUCUCGGCUCUUGAGGAUUUUAAUGGUAAAUAACAAAGCUCAAAAGACUGACGGUGUAAGAGCAACUCUAGCAGGUGAGCAACAUUUGCAGCAUCAAAAUCAUUUCGAAGCGCUCAACAUAAUAAGCAAUUACAAGUUGGAAUGCACAAAUACGAAGUCGCAAAAAUUCGAACUCCAUAUUUUACAGAUUCACCUUUUUUUUAAGCUCGAAGAUAGUGGGAAAGGCUCGGACGCAGACGAGGAGCACACGGGGACCACACCCACCAGAAUCUAA
rnacentral:rRNA from 1 species